GAUGAACGCUGGCGGCGUGCCUAAUACACGCAAGUCGAGCGAACGGACGAGAAGCUUGCUUCUCUGAUGUUAGCGGCGGACGGGUGAGUAACACGUGGAUAACCUACCUAUAAGACUGGGAUAACUUCGGGAAACCGGAGCUAAUACCGGAUGAUAUUUUGAACCGCAUGGUUCAAAAGUGAAAGACGGUCUUGCUGUCACUUAUAGAUGGAUCCGCGCUGCAUUAGCUAGUUGGUAAGGUAACGGCUUACCAAGGCAACGAUGCAUAGCCGACCUGAGAGGGUGAUCGGCCACACUGGAACUGAGACACGGUCCAGACUCCUACGGGAGGCAGCAGUAGGGAAUCUUCCGCAAUGGGCGAAAGCCUGACGGAGCAACGCCGCGUGAGUGAUGAAGGUCUUCGGAUCGUAAAACUCUGUUAUUAGGGAAGAACAUAUGUGUAAGUAACUGUGCACAUCUUGGCGGUACCUAAUCAGAAAGCCACGGCUAACUACGUG
rnacentral:rRNA from 1 species